UCAUUCAGCCAUUUUUUUCAGGCGGUCAAUCGGAUGGGUUUGUAAACUGUAAGCCAGGAGCCUGGAAUGCCUUCACGUCACGUGAUGGGAAGUGGAAAGCGAGCAGGCUAGCAAAUCAAAAAAGAAAAGAAGGGGUGCAACCUUAAUGGGGGGUCCCUUGUAUAAACACCAUCCCGGCUGGAGCGAGGACUCUCAAGACACCUUAAAGGAGCAGUCCUGAAGAAAUGGCUUUUUAAAGUGUUGGGGAUGGAGCAGUUGACCUCCUAUUCCUAUAGAUCUCUGAGUAUUUCACAUUGCCAAGCCUGAUCCAAGCUCCUGUCUUAAGCAAGACUCAUGGUUCCCUGAAUGCCUUAUUUUGGAAAAAAAAAUGGAGGAUACAUCACGGAACAACACAGGUGGGGGGCAAAUUGCGUAUUUGCACUAAACUUUGGAUCAGGGAUGUGGAACACAAUCUAUUAGAAACUAUUUAACCAAAUUCACGAUUAGCCCAUGCCAACAGAACCAUUGUUAGGGGAAGAAUAUUGAUUUAUUAUUUUUAUUUAUUUAAUUAAUUUAUAUGCCGCCCACUCUAC
rnacentral:lncRNA from 1 species